rnacentral:rRNA from 1 species
UCUAGUAGCUGGUUCCCUCCGAAGUUUCCCUCAGGAUAGCUGGUGCAUUAUAAUAUUAUGUUAAAUAAUCUUAUCUGGUAAAGCGAAUGAUUAGAGGCCUUAGGGUCGAAACGACCUUAACCUAUUCUCAAACUUUAAAUGGGUAAGAACCUCACCUUUCUUGAUAUGAAGGUUGAGGUUAUGAUAUAAUGUGCCCAGUGGGCCACUUUUGGUAAGCAGAACUGGCGCUGUGGGAUGAACCAAACGUAAUGUUACGGUGCCUAAAUUAACAACUCAUGCAGAUACCAUGAAAGGCGUUGGUUGCUUAAAACAGCAGGACGGUGGACAUGGAAGUCGUAAUCCGCUAAGGAGUGUGUAACAACUCACCUGCCGAAGCAACUAGCCCUUAAAAUGGAUGGCGCUUAAGUUGUAUACCUAUACAUUACCGCUAAAGUAGAUGAUUUAUAAUACAAUUUCGAUUGAAUUAUGAAUUUUGAAACUUUAGUGAGUAGGAGGGUACAAUGGUGUGCUUAGAAGUGUUUGGCGUAAGCCUGCAUGGAGCCGCUAUUGGUACAGAUCUUGGUGGUAGUAGCAAAUAAUCGAAUGAGACCUUGGAGGACUGAAGUGGAGAAGGGUUUCGUGUGAACAGUGGUUGAUCACGAGUUAGUCGGUCCUAAGUUCAAGGCGAAAGCCGAAAAUUUUCAAGUUUUAAUGC